AAAGACUCCUCGUUUAUUUCUCAGUCACUUCUACAACAUAUAUUUCUCACACAUAGCAGGAGGUCAAGUCAUAGCCAAAAAGGCCUUUGAGAGACUCUUAGAGGAAAAAGAGUUGGAAUUCUACAAGUGGGAGGGGGAUGAAGAAAAGUUGUUGCGAGAUGUGCGUGAUAGUUUUAACAUGCUGGCAAAGCAUUGGUCUAGAGAUGACAAGAAUAAGUCCCUGAGAGAAGUAACAAAGGCAUUCCGGUUUAUGGGUCAAAUUGUUCGGCUAAUCAUUCUGUAAAAACCAUUCCAAUCCAAAGGCCGAACUUGGUUUCUCAAUGACAGCUGGCUCACCAGUGUCG
rnacentral:misc_RNA from 1 species